GAUGAACGCUAGCUACAGGCUUAACACAUGCAAGGUCGAGGGGCAGCAUGCUGAUAGCUUGCUAUCAGUGAUGGCGACCGGCGCACGGGUGAGUAACGCGUAUCCAACCUGCCUGUCACUCAGGAAUAGCCCGGUGAAAACCGGAUUAAGUCCUGAUGAUAUCAUUAGAGGGCAUCUGACGAUGAUUAAAGGUUACGGUGACGGAUGGGGAUGCGUCUGAUUAGCUAGAUGGCGGGGUAACGGCCCACCAUGGCGACGAUGUCUAGGGGUUCUGAGAGGAAGGUCCCCCACACUGGAACUGAGACACGGUCCAGACUCCUACGGGAGGCAGCAGUGGGGAAUAUUGGGCAAUGGGCGCAAGCCUGACCCAGCAACGCCGCGUGAAGGAAGAAGGCCUUCGGGUUGUAAACUUCUUUUACCAGGGACGAAUAAUGACGGUACCUGGAGAAAAAGCAACGGCUAACUACGUG
rnacentral:rRNA from 1 species